rnacentral:rRNA from 1 species
UCGCGGAUCAGCAUGCCGCGGUGAAUACGUUCCCGGGCCUUGUACACACCGCCCGUCACACCAUGGGAGCCGGUAAUACCCGAAGUCAGUAGUCCAACCUCGUGAGGACGCUGCCGAAGGUAGGAUUGGCGACUGGGGUGAAGUCGUAACAAGGUACC